rnacentral:rRNA from 1 species
GCUCCUUAUGGAGCGAAGUCUUUGAUUCCCCGCUGCCAAGAAAAGCUUCUAGCGAGAUAAAAGGUGCCUGUACCGCAAACCGACACAGGUAGGCGAGGAGAGAAUCCUAAGGUGUGCGAGAGAACUCUGGUUAAGGAACUCGGCAAAAUGACCCCGUAACUUCGGGAGAAGGGGUGCUUUCUUAACGGAAAGCCGCAGUGAAUAGGCCCAAGCGACUGUUUAGCAAAAACACAGCUCUCUGCGAAGCCGUAAGGCGAAGUAUAGGGGGUGACACCUGCCCGGUGCUGGAAGGUUAAGGAGAGGGGUUAGCGUAAGCGAAGCUCUGAACUGAAGCCCCAGUAAACGGCGGCCGUAACUAUAACGGUCCUAAGGUAGCGAAAUUCCUUGUCGGGUAAGUUCCGACCCGCACGAAAGGUGUAACGAUUUGGGCACUGUCUCAACCAGAGACUCGGUGAAAUUAUAGUACCUGUGAAGAUGCAGGUUACCCGCGACAGGACGGAAAGACCCCGUGGAGCUUUACUGUAGCCUGAUAUUGAAUUUUGGUACAGUUUGUACAGGAUAGGCGGGAGCCAUUGAAACCGGAGCGCUAGCUUCGGUGGAGGCGCUGGUGGGAUACCGCCCUGACUGUAUUGAAAUUCUAACCUACGGGUCUUAUCGACCCGGGAGACAGUGUCAGGUGGGCAGUUUGACUGGGGCGGUCGCCUCCUAAAGUGUAACGGAGGCGCCCAAAGGUUCCCUCAGAAUGGUUGGAAAUCAUUCGUAGAGUGCAAAGGCAUAAGGGAGCUUGACUGCGAGACCUACAAGUCGAGCAGGGACGAAAGUCGGGCUUAGUGAUCCGGUGGUUCCGCAUGGAAGGGCCAUCGCUCAACGGAUAAAAGCUACCCCGGGGAUAACAGGCUUAUCUCCCCCAAGAGUCCACAUCGACGGGGAGGUUUGGCACCUCGAUGUCGGCUCAUCGCAUCCUGGGGCUGUAGUCGGUCCCAAGGGUUGGGCUGUUCGCCCAUUAAAGCGGUACGCGAGCUGGGUUCAGAACGUCGUGAGACAGUUCGGUCCCUAUCCGUCGUGGGCGUAGGAAAUUUGAGAGGAGCUGUCCUUAGUACGAGAGGACCGGGAUGGACGCACCGCUGGUGUACCAGUUGUUCUGCCAAGGGCAUAGCUGGGUAGCUAUGUGCGGAAGGGAUAAGUGCUGAAAGCAUCUAAGCAUGAAGCCCCCCUCAAGAUGAGAUUUCCCAUAGCGUAAGCUAGUAAGAUCCCUGAAAGAUGAUCAGGUUGAUAGGUUCGAGGUGGAAGCAUGGUGACAUGUGGAGCUGACGAAUACUAAUAGAUCG